rnacentral:lncRNA from 1 species
GGAGGAGGGAUUCAGGUAAAUCUCAUGAUCGCCAUUCUCCUGUUUCAAGAAGACGUAGAAGUAGGAGUGGGAGCCCUAGAACUAGAAGAUCAUACCGAGACGAUUCUGACUCCCCAAAACGCCAUCGAGACAGUCCAUCUCAUAGGCGAAGGAAAUCAUCUUGUGCCAAUUCAAGAUCACCUGACCACCACAGGGGAAGUAAAUCAUCCCUAGAAACGAUGAAAGCAGAGCAAAACAUAGAAAGCAAUCCAGGUCCAGAUCAGCUGAGGUUAACCAUAACUCUGGUGAUAGGAUGGAUGAAAGUAGAGAAGAAAAGUCCAAGCACAAGGAGCGGAGGCGGUCGAGGUCCUCCUCCACUGGGGCAAGACUCGAGAAGAGAAGUCCAAGCACAAGGAGCGGAGACGGUCCAGGUCCUUGUCCACUGAGGACAAGAUUCGGAAACGAAGUAGAUUGUCACCAAGAGUUUCAGGUGAAACCAAAUCAAAACACAAAAGGCGGUCCAGGUCUAGAUCUCCUGAAAAAAGCAUCACGUUAGUAGUAAAGUAGACAAAAACAGUGAAGAGAAGUCCAAGCAUCACGAAAGAAGGCGGUCCCGGUCAAGGUCUACUGAAGGUAAACGGCACAAAAGUUGUGGGAUGUCGCCUAGAAGGACUGAUGAACGGAAAACAAAACAUAGGAAGCGCUCAAGGUCAAGGUCGACAGAACACAAGUAUCACUCGAGUGAUAAUGGUGUGCAGGAAACUAAGCAUGAGAAUGUGAAACAUCUGAAGGAAAGACCCACUGAAUCAGAUGAUUCCUCCAUGGAACCUGGUCCUAAGGACUUAAAUGAUUCAGAAAAUGAUGAUGGCCAUAUGGAAAUCAAUAAAAGGGAUGAGCGUGACUAUGAGAGAACCGAGGCUACUGUGACAGAACUAAACCUUACCAAGAAACGUGAACUAGUUUGAAAUGCUGUCACCAAAGGCAAUGGUAUUUAUUUUGUGUAAUGGAGGAUUGCUAAUGCAUCAAAAGCAACCUGUACUUUGAAGUAACUCGGUUUGAAGUUUAGGCUUGUGUGGAAAGGGCUGCGAAAAGAGGAAGAUCUGGGUUUCUCUUGGAAGAUCCUCAAUUUCUUUUCUGCUCCCAAAUAUUAGGAUGAUAUGUGGCUCUCUUGUGAUAAUUACCUUUUUUUUUUCCCUUCCUUCUUCUCCUGAUUGCAGGUUGUUGAUGGAGUGGAGUUGCUGUAUUCUGAAGCUAUCUUGCUAUCAUAUUUCAGGAAGUCCUGUGCCUAUUUAAAUCAACUGAGCUAUAAUUUAUGGAACUACUGUAUGAGCUUGAUCUAAGCUGAUCUCUUACCUUCAUCAGUAGGUAGUGAGUUUGUUCAAUGCUGUCUCUGUUUAAGGAUUUUCUCUUUUUAAGGAUACUGGUGACUCAUUUAAUUGUGUUACUACUGAACUUUGUCCUGCAUCUCUUUCCUCUUGAAUGGUAUUUGCUUGUCCUUUAGGAAAUCUGUGGUUAGAGGAACCAGCCACCUAUCUUUAAACUGUUUCAAAACAUUAGAACUCUUAGCUGUUGUGAGUUUUUGUUCCCCUUCUUUUUUCGUUGGUGAAGUAUACAGUUUGGAAUAAGGAGAACUAUAGUCUGCACGGUAGGAAUUAAUCUAUUAUUUUUAUUACAGAAUAUUUGUUUACUUGUGGGGAGAUAGGUCAUCUUACACCUCUUUCCCUUUGUUCUUUUUUAUUGGAUAUAUUUUUCUAUUUUCUUCUUGAAUUUGUUAUUGAUAAGCAGCGGGCAGAGCUCUAUGUUAAUAGGGGCUUUUGGGCAAUAAUAGUUCAUUUUAGAUUUGCAUUUGAUGGUUUUGGUGGGCCUGUUACAUUUCAAGAACAUGCAGGUCCUCAAGCUGGUAUCAAGUGGUGCUUUACUGAUCAAUUUGGCGAGAUUGUGUUAUCUGGUUGUGUAUGAAGGUAUGCAAUCAUGGAUUCUGGUGGUCUAGUGGCAGGAGCUUUUGCUGUUAAUUUUGAUGAUAGAUUGUUCACUGAUUUUUGUUGGUCCAAUUUUGAUUGAAGUCCAAUUUUGGUUGAAGAUGAAGUUUGUUUCUGUACUUGAUACUUUGUAAUGCUCCUUUCCUCAUGUUUCUUUUGUCUUUUCUUUUUUUUUGGUUUUUUUUUUUUUUGGGGGAAGAGGGGGGGGGGGUUGGGUUUCCCCCUUCCCUUUUCUAUCUUCUUUCCUCCUUCCCUGUUUCUUCUCUAUAUUCCUUGGAAUGCUUGGUUAGGUAAUUUAUCAUUGACUCGAAAAGGAGGUUGCUGAGAUGGUUAGCAACAUAGCUUCCAGCUUUUCUCCCUGUGAAGUGAUCACAUUGGCCAACUUAAAGGGGCUGAGUUUCGUGGUGAAACUCUGUGUGCGCAGGUAAUUAGUUGUCUUAGACUGUUAUCCAAUAUUGUCUUCCUUGGAGGGAAAUGAAGUUAGCUACCCUAGGGCACGGAGAUUACUCUUGCUAAAGAUACCUAUCACUAGACAAGUAGUCUAACCCUCAGAGCAGCAGAUAGCUUGUUUGGUACACGAACCAUCUAGUUUAAUGAUAGGUAUAUUACAUUAGUUUCAUGUUGCUGAUGUUUAAUUUUGGAGUACAUUGAUGAUCAUUGCUCGAUCUGUCUAUAUCCAUGAUUGAGUGUUCACUUAUAUGCGGUCUGUGUGUACGCGUACGGAUGGGGAAAAUUGUGAUUAAGCUGAAGCUCGUGAGCCAGUUGGAUGAAGUUCAGAUCACCUGGAACAAACCUAAUGUCACAACAAUCUAAUUUGUCCUUAAACUUCAAUAUUCUCACAUAUUAGUUAAUUUGUUUUGGAUAGGUAAACUUUAUUAAUUGAAAUCUAAUAGAACACACCCUAUAGUUAAUUGCUUGAUAGCUAAUGCUUAUGUUAUUUUCAUGUUGUCAAUGUCUGUUUCUUUCCUGCUGCACUCCUCUAAAAAUAUUCUGAAUUCUUAACUAUAUUGGAUACGGUGGUGUUCAUUCAACAUGUACUUCCACACGAGUACUUCACAGGAAUUGUUGCCAACAAGGGUUGGCUCCAGUCACAUUUCUUGGACAUAUGCAUUCUUUGUUGGUGAGAGAUUUGUACGAACUGCUGGCUUGAAGGUUGGGCAACCUCGCAACUUGCUUCCUAAACUUUUAUUCUUAACAAGAUUUUUUUUUAAAAAAAAAAGACUAGGUAAAGGGAUUUUUUUUGGUGGCUUCAUAUUAUUGAUAAAACAAGUGAUUUGGGUAAUAUCGUGGAAAUGUGGAAACCACAAUACUGAUGUAAAGGCGAGAAAAAAAGUUGCUGCGAAAUAAAAUAUAGCUCCGAGAUUGAAUUCUUAUAAUCUAGACUUCAACAAUGGCGGUUUCAUUGUACGCCAUUAUGUUCAAAAAGUCAUUGAUCACUGUAUAAAGUUAACGAGGAAACUUUGUGGACGGUCCAUAAAAACGAUUGCUUGUGUAUGAUUUUAGCCAAUCAACUAUAAACUAUCACAAAGAAGCCUUGAAUUAAAAGAAAUGAUCAAUUUAAGGACUUUUAUCAAUUUUGGCCGUUAGAGGUGACAAAAUUAGGGGUAAAACCGAUCAAACGAAAAAAAAAUUAAUAGCUUAAAAGUCCUCAUUCAUUAAAUUAGGGUUAGAAAAGGUAGAAGAUGAAAGAAAAGGAGGCUUUAACAAGCUAUUUGUUUUGCUGGAAUAAGAGGGCAAGGAAAGGAAAGGAAAGGAAAUGGAGGGGUGUAUGAUUUUUGAUGUUUGGGAUUGGUCUUUGAAGAGAGAGAGGAAAUGAUUGGGAGGGAAGAGGAUUUAGUUAUUUUUUGUCAGCUUACUUUUGGUCUAAAAGUGGGUGAAAAUGGAGGGAAAGGACAUUAAGAUUAAUGAAAAUUUUAAAAAUUUUUAAAAAGCCUAUUAUAUGUUUAUAAAUUAAACUUUUAAAUUAUAGGUAAAAACUUAACAAACAGAUGGAUUAGAAAUGUACUAUGGUGUGUGCUUCAUAGGUUCGAGACAAGGGGGAAAAUACCCUGAAAGAAAGACCUUUACGGGAACAUCAACGUAGUGAAAGUAGACAGCGUUUGGGACGAAAAUAUAAUUAUGUUAUGUGACCUUUAACUAAUUUGUAAGACUCUUAUGGGACCUUCUUCUCUUCUUCUUUUUUUUUUUUUUUUUUUUGUCAAUUUGUCAAAAAAUGAGAAGUUUUCCACCCACUUCCACUUGUCCAUUUCAAAACUCCCCAUGAGUGAUGCCAAGAUGUUCACUCUUGAGCUAAAUAUUAUAAUUAUUACAACAUGUGGGUGUUUUAGAAGCCAAUUGUUAAUUUUUUUUUGUUCACAUUAACAUUUAGAAGAGAUUUACAUAGAGGUGGCAAUUUUUCCCAAGUCCCAAUGGGUUACCCAUGCCCAUGGGGACUUUGGGCGGGAUGGGUACUGAAAUUUGAUAUUGGGUUUAAAAUGAGACAAAUCCCAAUUGUACCCAUUAAUUGAUGGGAAAUCUUGGGAACUACUUGGUACCCAUUGGGCUCAAAUAGCAAGGGCUCCGUUUGGAUUAGUUAUUUUUGGGGGGUAUUUUUGAAAUAUUUUAUUGUAGUAGUGUAUAUGAAAAAUUUUUACUAUAAAUUUUUUUUUGAAAUAUUUGAUAUACUAAUAUAGAUGGGAUAUUUUUUGAAUUAUUGUAUAUUACUGUAAUAUUGUAUUUGAAAAACUUAUUUUUUGAAAAAAGCCAAUCCAAACGGAGUCUUAGAUUCAAAAAUUAUCUUUAACAAUUUUUAUAGUCAUACUAACGAAUAUAAUCUAGUAGUCUUCCUAGUCAUUAUCCACAAGAAUUUCCAGCAUUUCAGUCAAUUUAGACCUGUGGAUGUGAUUAAACCCAUUUCACUAACUCAGGCCUCUACAAAUACAUUAGUGUAGUUCUAAAAGGUAUAUAUUCAGAAUAAAUCUUCACUUGAAAAAUUUUAGUUCCAAUAUCGAGAACAUAUGCCUACAAUGAUCCAAGUUAAAACAACAGGAAACACUAAUAAUAUUAAAGAACCAAAAAAGAAAAAGGCCUUGAGCAUUGAUUUGUUUUUCCUUUCCACCAUUUUCCAAUCUCGAUGAGACAAUUCUUCAAAAACAUACAUAAACACCAAAUUUGCAAGAAUACCUGAGUAUUGGCUCCAGUGAUAGCCUGCUUUUUAUUUGUAAUCUAGAAAGCAGUUUUGAAACGAUCAAUUCCCUUUGCAAUAUAAUUUGUGGUAGGGUUUGUACCAAGGGGAACAUUUCUUGAUAAAAUGAAAUAAAAUCCUCGGCAGUAUUUAAUUCCUGCAUUUGUCAAAAAAAAAAAGACAACAAUAUCAGCAGAAUUUAAAUGUGAGAUGGAAGUGUACAAAUUUUUGCUAUCUCAAAAAAGGUAUAAUCAUAUGAAGUUGGAUAGAAAGGACAAAACAAACAGCAAUCUAGAAAUAUACAAGACACAUAAUAAAUUGCUGACAAGUACACCCAGACAGAAGCAGACAGACCAGCCAUGCCAUACAUUAGAUCCAUAACCUUGUGGAUAGUUUCCAGCACAGUAACAUAGAGGCUGAAAACCAAUAUGGAACAAUGCCAAGAAUCUUCUUUAGACCUUCCUGCCUAGGCAAAAAUACCAAAGGAAGAAAACAAGAACUUCCAGAAAAUAUUCAAAACAACCCUCGCUAAACAUGAUUCUGAUCAUGUCACCUUCAUAAAUUACUUAUCCUAACACAAACUCCUUUGCCUUGAAAACAUUCUUUGGUGCAUUAGAAGUAAUAGCACUUCCUACUUCAAAAGGAUGCCAUUGAUUUACUCCUCCUACCUCAAGCAAGAUAUGGACCACACCUUCAUUUAUUUCACAUUAACUUUGUAGAUUAAAGACAGUGCCAAAACUACUAAAACUAAUCUGCCUGUAUAUGCCAGUAGAUUAGUCCACAAAGCCAGAAGGGUCAUCCUCAUCUAGUCACUGUUACAUCAAAACCACCAAGAUUCUACACAGCAUCAUCAACAUCUCCAAAGCACAUUGUCCAGCACCGCAAAACCCCCUGAAAAAUCCCCCUUACCAAUUGAAAUUCCCAAACUAACACACUCAAAAUAAAAAUAAUUUUCUAGCUUCUGAAUAAAAAAUGAACUUUUUGAAAGAUAUAUGGCAGAAAAAAAGAAAGCCACAACUAGAUUCCAUGUAUUGCUUAUAUUGCACAAAUGGCUUUCUGAAUCCUUUAAAAACAUAAGCAGGCACCUAUAACUGAUGUUUAAAACCAAAUAAGUCGGAACAAAGCAGAUGAAAAAGCUUUUCUUGAAAUGCUACCCACUUUUCAUGUAAGCUUAGCAGUUUCUCCCGAUGUGCAGACAUCAAAUUCCAAAACCCAAUAAAAUAUGUCUCAUAUUACUUUAAUGUUUCCUACUUGUCGUCUAAAAAUGAAAUCUUUAUCCUAAAAGAACAGCCAAAAAAUGUACUGAUAUCCCCAAUAAGAACCCUCGAGAAAUAGCUGCACAAGUUACACCAAAAAAAAACUACAAUUCAAAUCACAAUUACUUCAGAAAUAGAAGAAUAUUGAAACAUACUCUCCAUUCAACUAGGCAAUCGCGAAAAAACGUGGACCCUUCAGAAGGCUCAGCUUUAACAGGGUCCAAACUUCGGUAUACAUUAAUAUCAAUCUCUGCAAUUUGUUGAACAUUGGACUUGUACUGCACCACCCCAAAAAAAAAACUUCAGAAUUAAAAAAAAAAUAAUUCCAUAAUACUCUCGUCAACCAAGAAGGAAAAAAAAUGAACAACUUGAAUAAAAAGAACUGCAAUUUUUUAUUUGCAUACAAAAAAUUAAGAAAGAUAGAUAGCUUACAACAAAUUUCUUGCUUCCCUCGCCUGUGUUUAGAGACUUUACGGCUCGAGCGUCCGCGGGCGUCGCCAUUGGUGCCUCACCCAAGCUCAAUCUCUGGAAAAGGGAGGGAGAAGGGGGGAGGGUUUAACUUUAAGAGGUUAGCUAACUACCGACUUCAGAAGUUGAGAGGAGGGUUUAAGGUUUUCAGUUUAUUGUUGUUCCUUUUUGACCUUUUUCUUUUUUUUUUGAUUUUUUGUAGUUAACUUAUUCAUAUCCUAUCCUAAUCCUAUCCUAAAUCCUAAACUACAUAAAGCGCCGAAAUCCUAUCCUAAACUACAUAAAGCGCCCAAAGUCGAGCUACAGUUAAUUGUGCCGGUUUCGCUGUGAUUUCGCAGCUGAUUUCGUCCUUUUUGGUCUUUUCGCAGGCUCCAUGCAGCGGCUUUGCUUCCUGUUCCGCUUGUCCUCAUUUCUUUUUUUGUUGCUUUGUUCCCAUUGUACCCUUUCCCUUGGUUCGUUUGUAAUUUGCCAAUCAAUUUUGUCCUUUUGUUUCUUCGAUCUUUUCCUCCCGUCGUUUUGCUAUCUUCAAGCCGUGUAUAUUGACCAAAGUAUUUUUAUGUUUACAAUUUUACCACUUUUUUAUAUUUAUUCCCUUACUUAUUAACUUUCUCUAAAACGUGUAUAUUAACAAACAUAUUAAAUAUCAAAAAAUAUGCAGGUUGCUAUAUACACAAACAUAUUAAAUAUCAAAAAAAUAUGCAAGUUGCUAAAUAUCCUAUGUACAUCUAAUAAAUACAAACGAAUAAAAAUUCUAUAUGUAUCUAAUCAAUAUAUAUCAAUAUAUAUAAAUUGAUUAUUGUGUUUUGUAUUAAUGCAGAUCAAUGAAAAUCAUAUAUAUUUAGCAUGCAUCUAAUAUAUAUAAAUUAAUAAUACUACUUUGUAUUAACAUAUAUAAGUGUUAUUUAUGUGAAAUAAUUAUAAUUUCGACACUAUUUCUAUGUUUAUAAUUUUCCGUCCUUCUUUAUAUUUAUCCGCUUAUUUAUUAACUCACUUGUUUAUUAACUUUGUUAAAAGUGUGUGUAUUGAAAAAAAAUAUUAAAUAUCAAAAAAUUACGCAUGUCACUAAAAAUCCUAUGUAUAUCUAAUACAUACUAACGAAUAAAACUCUAUAUGUUUCUAAUCAAUAUACAUAAAUCAAUUAUGCUGUUUUGCAUUAAUGCAGAUCAAUAAAAAUUAUAUGUGUUUAACCUAUAUCUAAUAUAUAUAAAUUAAUAAUACUACCUUGUAUUAACAUAUAAUAAGUGUUAUAAUACUACCUUGUGUUAGCCCCUACUUAAACAUUAAUUACUAGAAGCAAUAAUUAAGACCAAAAGUUAUCAAAAUUUUCAACAUACUUGAUACGAAUAUAAAAAUCAUCCCAAUAAGAAAACAAAGCAGAUACAAUUCAUACUACAUACAAAUGCGAAUAAUACAUAACAGUCGUUAACAACUUCAGAGCCGGAGAAAAAAGCUUACUUGAUUAGAGGCACAAGAGAGUCGGAACAAAAACUUUGGGGAAUUUCGGAAGAAGCAGAGACAGAAAGCGAAUGAACCUUUUUCUGGGAAGAUUUUCGAUAAAGCUCUCAGCCCUAGGGUCUGUUUGAUAACAUAAAAAAGUGCUGAAUCUGAAUUGUUUCAGACAUUCAGAUGUUUUGAGUGUUUGAUAAAUGAAAAUCAAUUUGCUGAACUUGUUAAGCAGUGUUGAACUUGUGUGUAUUUUUUUCAGCACAAGAAUCCUAACUGAAUGCUUAAUUUUGAUAAGAAUCAAUAGAAUUACUUCAACUACCUUAUCUUAUGUACCAAAUCCACCCUUGUUUGUUAAUUAUGUUCAAAAUUCUUAUUUAAUUAAAUAACCUAAUAUUCUCUAUCUAACGAUUUUUAGUUUCUCUUUCUAUCUUUUUAAUGACUUUCACAUCUUCUCCAUACUCCUCAUAUAAUAUAUUUCAUCUUUUAUAUUAAUUUGAUUUAAAAAUAAAUAUUAUCAUUUUCAUACCUAACAAAUUUAAACUAAUUAAAUCAUAGAUUUUUUUUUUUUUUUGAAUGAAAGAUAUAAGGGCAAAAUUGUCAAAUUAAACUUAUUAAGCAUUCAACUAUAAAUAUUUAUCAAACAAUAUAAAUAGGUUUAGCAUUAAAAUUCAGACAUUCAUAUAUUUUUUUCAGUGCUUAAAAUUCAGCAAAUUAAUUAUUUCAGUAUUCAGAUUUCAGAAUUCAGACUUCAGAAUCCAGAUCCAGUUUUAUCAAACGGAACCUAACCUAGUCUUUUUCCAGUGAUAGUGGUAGAGUGAAAGAACGAAACCCUUUCUUAGUAUUAGUUUCUGAUUUUUUGAAGGGUUAAUUACAAUUUGCCUCCUCAACAUUAAGGAAAGUCACACUUUUCCCCUGUGGAGUUUGGAGCAUGGGAGAGAAACAUAUUUUGUUGUUUCAAUUGACUUUUGAGCACGGAAAGAAAAGAAUAAGGAGGAAAAGAGAGGGGAAGGCUCUAACUAUUUUAUUUUGUUAAAUUAUAUUUUCGGCCCAAAGUGGGCGGAAACGGGGAAAUUAAUUGAAAUGAAUUUAAAUAUUUUCAAAAGAUCAUUUGUUUUUCUCUAUCUUUUUCACUAAGUUGACACUUAUUUUUUUCUUUUCUUUUUUUUUUCCUUCUUCAAUCCAAAUAAAAAUUCAGUAUUUUUUUUCUUUUCCUUCCAUAUUUAAUCCAAAUAAGAUGGAAGCAAACCAUUUUCCUCUGCUUUCCUUUCCUUUCUUUUCCAUUGAUAUUCUCUCCUUUCCUUUCCCUUCCCUUCCUUCAAUCCAAACGAAGCCCGGACAAGAAAUCAAAAGCUUGGAAUAUCAGUAGAUACUCUCGUCUAUGUGUAAUGCUUUAACAUGGCAUAGAUUAGUGUCAUAUAACAGAUUUUGUGCAAUUUUUAUGCGUUCCAAGAAUUUUUUGGACUAGUACUACUCUAACCAUUGUAAUUUCGAGACUAUUUCUAUAUUUAUAAUUUUCUCUCCUUCUUUAUAUUUAUCUGCUUCUUUAUUAACUCGCUUAUUUAUUAAUUUUGUCGAAAGUGUGUAUAUUGAUCAAAAUAUUAACUAUUAAAAAAAUACGCAAAUCACUAAAAAUGCUAAUGCAUAUCUAAUACAUAAAAUAGCCUUCUUUUUAUAUUUAUUCGCUUAUUUAUUAAUUUUCUCCAAAAUAUAUAUUAGCAAAAAUAUUAAAUAUGAAAAAUAUGCAAAUUCCUAAAAAUCCUACGUACAUCUAAUAUAUGCAGAUGAAUAAAAAUUCUAUGUGUAUCUAAUCAAUAUAUAUAAAUCAAUUAUGAUGUUUCGUAUUAAUACGAAUCAAUGAAAAUUAUAUGUACUUAACAUGUAUCUAAUAUAUAUAAAUUUAAUUAAUUUUCUCAAAAAUGUAUAUAUUAGCAAAAAUAUUAAAUAUGAAAAAAAUAUGCAAAUCGCUAAAAAACCUACGUGCAUCUAAUAUAUGCAAAUGAAUACAAAUUCUAUGUGUAUCCAGUCAAUAUAUAUAAAUUGAUUAUGCUAUUUCGUAUUAAUACAAAUGAAUGAAAAUCAUAUGUACUUGACAUGUAUCUAAUAUAUAUAAACUUAAAAAUAAAUCAAUCCAAUAUUUAUUGAUUCAAAAAAAUUAUUCGAUCAAUAAAUACAAAUAUAUGAUUCUAAAUUUAUAAUUUCAAAUUGUUAAAAAUCCUUAAUUUGUAUAUAUUAUAUUUAUGAAUUUAUAUUCUUCACUAUAUUUCUUUUCUUUUAGUUUUUCUAAUACUAAACUCUUCCACUAUCUAACACACAAUCUUGAAUCUUUGGUGAGUUUCAUAUAAAUUACAUUCCAAUCAAUAUAAUUCAUACACUACAUUGCUACUCUCAUUUCAUAAUACAACUACGUUUUUUCCCUAUUUUCUAUCUCAUGUAUUCAUUGGUGAUAUACCCUCGCAUAUACAAACAGUCAACAUAGGAGUCAUCAAUUGCUAUCAUACUAAAACUCGAUGGAUCUUUCAGUUAGAAGGAAUAGAAAUAACAGAAAGUUGGCCAAUAUUGGCACAAAAACACUUCUUACAUGAAGGAAGUGUCAUCCUGUUCACCUUGCUCAAUGAAAAUAAUUAUCAUCGGCAACUCUUCAGUAGAGACUUUAUCCAACAAUCAUAAUUAAACGUGUCCACUACAGCUUCUUGCACAUAGCAAUUAUCUGUUCCCUAAAUUUUCUUUAUUCUGCUUCCACUUAUAUUUAACAAUAUAAAAAUAAACAUAUCGAAAUUAUUUCGAAUUAUUAAUUUAUCUCAACUCUUAAAAAAUGAUUUACAUUCCAUUAAUUUAAAUAAUAUUUACAUCCUGUUACUCUUAAAAAUUAAAUACAAAUCACAACAAUAUUACUAUAUCUAUUUAUAAAUAUAUUAAUCCAAUAUAUUAUUCCUCUAUUUAUUAUUCCAACCCCACUAUCAUAUAAAACACUCUAAACAUUAAUUAUUAUAUAAAUCUUACAUUACUCUUAAACAAUUAAUAAUGGGCACCCCGCGAAACUCGCGGGGCACAAUGCCUAGUAAUUUUCCAUCCGACAUGGAAAAUUAGGUUUUAUUGAGGUUUUACCGACUUUAGGCAAAUUAAUAGAAAUGGACCCUUCAAAUCCGUACAAGUCCAGUCCUCUUUUGAUCUUUGUUAAAAUUUUGAAAUUUACAAACAGCUAGGCAAGGAAGGAAUUACGUUUAACUUCGAAAAUAAUUGUAAAAAAAGAUAAUAACUAUACUUUUUUUGAGGAUUUUGUUCUAUGUAAAUAGAUUAAUCAUUUUUUCAAAUGAAAGGAAUCCAGCAUCUUCUACUUAUAAAUCUUCUUAUUUAGUAGCAAAAAAAGCUAAUCUAAUAAUAUGCAAAAAAAGACUAAUCUAAUUAAAUACAAGCAGUAUCAAGUAUAAAAAGCAAUUCAAGAUCCAAAACUUUAUAAGUAAAUAACUUGAACUAUAAUUGGAUAUAAGAUUUAUUGAAAGAAUAUGUCUGGAUAUAAUUGGAUAUUUCAAAACUUACUACUCUUACAUACUUGAUAUUUGAAAAAUAUAAGAUUAUUUGAAACAUAUUAUUUGAAAUAAUACCAUAUAAGAUUAUUUAAAAAAUAUUAUUUUAAAUAAUGACGUGAUACAUGUAAAAUAAAAAAAUUAGUUGAAAAUUAUAUUUAUAAUGUAAGAGGAUUUUUUUUUACAAAAUUAUAUUGUCCAAAAUAUAAUUGCCUAAUUGGGAAUGAUUUCAUAAUUACGACAACUAUAUGGGAGGUUAACGUAAUUUUGUCAAAUUGUAAAAGGUAGAGUCUCUGCAGCCGAAAAUACUCCUCUCAAUCGUUAAAAGCAUCUUGCAAUCGUCCUUUUCCACCCCUUGCCCAGUCCUACCCACUCGCCGUUACUCCUAAGGUACGCCAUCUCGCCGCCACCUCCACCUCCACCGCGCGUGCAUACACACUCACGCGUACAAAACACAAUCACACACACACACACACACACACUCAUCACGAGGGCAAAAAUUUCCAAUUAGGGUUUUUAAAAUUAUUGUAAAGUUUCGAUUUUUAUUAUUACUGAUAAUAAUUUAGUACUACUUGAAUUAAGGUUGUGGGGGAAAAUCAUCUGAGGGCGAUUCUGUAAUUUACUACAAAUCUAAUGGCGGAUCGGAACAGCAGCACGAACGGCAAUCCCAAUGUGGCUGCGGCUGCGGCGGCGGGGGCGGCUGCCACCGGCGCCGUGGGAAAGACGAUAUGGAUGAAGCAAGCGGAGGAAGCUAAGCUCAAAAGCGAAGCGGAGAAAGCUGCGGCUGCCAAAGCAGCUUUCGAGGCCACGUUUAAGAACUCCUCCAACAAUACGGCUGCAGCUGCCGGGUCCGAAGACGAUGACGACGAUGAAGAUGAGGAGGAAAGAGAGCGAAGAAGGCUGGCUUUAAAGCCAAUUGGUCCAGUGGACCCCGGUAAGUGCACCGCUGCCGGUGCAGGGAUCGCCGGUGGGACUGCGUGCGUGGGGUCGACUUUUGUGGUGGUUACAAAGGAUGCGGAUGGCCGGAAGUUGCCUCACGGUGGGGCUCAGGUCAAAGUUAGGGUUUCACCUGGAGUUGGAGUGGGAGGAACCGAGCAGGAGGGGAUUGUGAAGGAUAUGGGGGAUGGGACGUAUACAGUGACGUAUGUUGUUCCAAAGAGAGGGAAUUAUAUGGUGAAUGUUGAGUGUAAUGGGAAGGCUAUCAUGGGGAGCCCUUUCCCUGUGUUCUUCAGCUCAGGUAUAUAUGAAACUCUGUUAAAAAAACAUAAAGAUAUACUACUUUUCUCGAAUGCUUGUACAGAGAAUUCAACAGAUGUCAGUUUCAUAACCUAAAAUAUAAAAUAUUUCGUGAAGAUGUAGUUUAGUAUGCAGAGUGAUGCAUAUGUGGGGAUAAGGAUUUUUGAGUUUGUAGCUUGUUCUUGAUAAAUGGCAUUGUUAUUCUGUGUAUAAACAUGUGUGCCGAAAUUUUUGGACUAGUGAAGUUUUGACUCAAGAUAUAUUUAGAGGUUCUAUGUAUUUCAGACAUUAUGCCUGCUAGUGAUUAUCUUUUUAAUCUCUAUGGGGUUGGAGGAACCUUUUAUAUUUUAGUUCUUGAACAUUUUGUGCUUUAAUUUAGAUGAAUUAGCUGGCGCUGGUAUAAAACACUGGUUGACUUUCAGCUUAUUAAUGAGUUACAUUGAGUUUAUAUUGCUAAUGCUUGAUUGUAAAGUUUUAGAGCAUCAUUUUUUAUACCAGUUGUUGCUUCCCUCCUUUUUUUUUUUUGGUUUCAGAGCAAGAAUAGCAUGUCAAACCUUUGGCUCUUGUACUUUGGAGUUGGGAACAGGUGCCAUGUAUUACUCAUCUUGAUGUUUGAGUAAUGUAGCAGUCUAAUACUAUUUAUACCCAUAAAUCUUCCCUUUGACUUUGGUCUGCAUCUUUUACUAUUUUUCCAGCAGAACAUGAACACAUGUUUUCAUUUCUCGUAGUAGCCUUUUUUUGGCAUAAUUUAGUUGUGCUUUUUAGUCUUCAUCAUUGCGUAACUAAAUAAUGCUUUUGCUGAAGUAGGAUUUGGCCAUUGAAACUAUAUAAUAAUUUUCCAGGAAUGAUAUAUCUUGAAAACAAUUAUAUGUCGAGGCUUAAGAAGGGGGAGGGGGAAGAAAGUCUAAUGUAGAUCCUGGAAAAGUUUGCCCUGUUUUUCCUGUAUUGGAUUCUAGCUGAUGGAUUGUUAAGUCACCACAGCCCUAGCAGUUCACAGAAUGCUAUGGAAAGACUAAUCUAUUCCUGAUUAAUAAAGUCAAUGCUCUCUCUACAAGUCCAUUUUCCUGCUCUCUGUUUUCUCUCUCAUUACGCAUGUCCAGCAGUUCAUCUCUGCCUUUUGUCUUCGCCAUCAUUACAGUCUCUGCUUCUUUACACUCUACACGAACCAGUCCUCCUUUGUCCUACUAAAAGCCCUUCGUAGUAACUUGGCAGUCACAAUCCCAAUGACACCCUAGUACUGAUCUUGCUGGCCCUUCCAUGUCGUCUGAAGAUAUAUAUUGCCUUUGCCUUUACUGAAUUGCUUUCUUUGUAGACGAAGCCAAGCACUCUACUGCCACUUGUGAGUUGUGGGCCUGGUGCACCACCUGAUUGCACCCAAAAUCCUCCCACAGCUGCUUUCCUAAAAAAGGAUUUUGGAACGCACCAUCUAAUUUCCAUCCCAAAUGAUGAAACACGGUUUGGAGCAGUGGCGAAUUCAUAUUAUUGCCCCUCUCAGCUAUGAAAGAACUACAUAUCUGAUUAGGAAAUUCUGUAAUUUUUAAGUAACAUCCCCCUUUGCUCUUCUUAAAUUUUGAAUAGAAGUUCCCUUCUAGCUAAAUAUGGACCUUGGAAAGUGUGAUUUUUGCUCUUCCUAAAAUUUUCCUUUAUGGCAAGUGAAUCUUAAGAUCCUUUAAAGAAAGAUUAUUUCAUCUAAUCCUCGAGUGAAGUACAUUUUAUUGUUGCAACAUAGUGAUUCUUAAAUGCUAAUUGAGAAACUUACUACAUAUUAAUUGUCAGCAGAUGAUUGGAUUUGUGAAUAUGAGCCAAUCAGGCAUAGAUUUUGCAGAAUACUAUUCUGUUUGUUUAUUGGACAUUUUGAUAGGACAGUUAAGUGUCUUUGUUAGAUUCUUGGGGAGAGAAUAGGUUUCUCUGCAUCUAAUUCCCAUUGAAUUGCUUUACUAGUGACAAAACUGCUGAUAGUUAUACAUGCUUUCUUAAGUUGUUCCAAAUUCACUAGGUUUGAAGUGUUUUGGCUUGUUGACUUGGAGUUUGUAAUGUUUCUAUGCAGGUCCUACAACUGGAGGGUUGCUGGGGGUUGCUCCCUCUUCCACAUACCCAAAUAUGGUUAAUCAAACCAUGCCCAAUAUGCCAAAUUAUUCUGGUUCUGUUUCAGGUGCAUUUCCUGGAUUGCUUGGGAUGAUUCCUGGUAUUGUUCAGGGAGCUUCCGGCGGGGUGGUUUUACCUGGGAUUGGUGCAUCUCUUGGAGAAGUUUGUCGAGAAUACCUUAAUGGUCGGUGUGCAAAAACUGAUUGCAAGUUUAGUCAUCCUCCUCACAAUCUUCUGAUGACUGCUUUAGCUGCCACAACUAGUAUGGGCACUGUUAGUCAGGUUCCCAUGGCACCUUCUGCCGCUGCAAUGGCUGCUGCUCAGGCUAUUGUUGCUGCUCAAGCCCUCCAAGCUCAUGCUGCUCAGGCAGCACAAGCUCAGGCACAAUCUGCUAAAGAUUCUUCUGGUAUUUCUAAUGCCUACUAUUUGUGUACUAUCUAAUAAUCCUCUUAUUCAUUGCUCAUCAUUAUUGUCUGGGAAGAAUUUUGAUUCUAAAAUUUGCCACCAUUCAGCUAAUAACUGUGAAAGGCAUUAGGCUACUGUGUAUAAUGUCCAUUAUGGCCUUCCGGUGAUCUUUGUUAUUUUCUUUCUUUUCCCUUUUGCUUUUUGUACCCUGUCCAUGUUUUUCGAUAUUUAUAAGUAAGACAUCAGUUGUCCUUCUGAUGCUUAACAAUCUCGCUAUUGCUGUGAAAAAUAUGUAUUCAACUGCAAACUUGUAAUGCUUUCUGAAGUUUAUCUUUCCUUCUGUUUUUUCACUCUCUUAUUUGGUGUUUUCUACCUUUAUCUGCUUUUUUACAGGAUCAGCUGAUAAAGAGGGGAAAAAUGAUACCCUUAAAAGAACCGUUCAAGUCAGCAACCUUAGCCCACUUCUCACAGUGGAUCAGCUGAAGCAGUUAUUUGGCUUGUAUGGAACUGUUGUUGAAUGUAAUGUGACAGAUUCAAAAUAUUUUGCUUAUAUAGAAUAUUCAAAGCCUGAAGAAGCAACUGCCGCAUUAGGAUUGAACAAUAUGGACGUUGCUGGUCGCCCAUUGAAUGUUGAAAUGGCAAAAUCACUUCCUCCAAAAUCGGCCAUUCUUGGUUCAUCUUCUCUCCCUUUAAUGAUGCAACAAGCUGUUGCAAUGCAGCAGAUGCAAUUUCAGCAGGCAUUAUUAAUGCAGCAAACAUUGACACAGCAGCAGGCUGCCAAUCGAGCAGCAAGCAUGAAGACUGCAACCGAGUUAGCAGCAGCUAGAGCUGCUGAAAUAAGUAAAAGUUUGAAUCCUAAUGGGAUUGUUGCAGAAGAUAAGGAAGCUGAUCGCAAAUCUAGGUUAUUUGCACUUCUUGAAUCUCUUACUUUGUUUAUCAAAUAAUGAUUCUUUCAUGUUGACAUUGUAAAUAGUUUUGACUGUUUUGUUCAUCUAAGUAUAAUAGGCCUGCUGAUUUGAGCAAAAUCUUUUGUGAUUUGGGUAGAACCUUUCGUCAUGUCAGGCGUGAUUUUGUUAGUAUUUUCCUCGAGUUCUUUUUGUUGUUGUCCUUGUUCAGUACUAAAUAGCUGGGUUCUAUAGCUGUAAGCUGGGAUGUCAGAAGUUUCCUGGGUAGUUUGUCAAGUCACACACCACCUUUCUCUUUUUUAAUUAUUUGGAUGUGUUUCAUAUACUCUUCUUUUCCUAAAGCUGAGAUCAGCAGAAAUGGUAGUCACUCAUGGACGAUAUUUCAAAAGAUGCAUGUUUCUCAUGACUGUUUUACACUUGCAUGAUAUUUAUGGUGGGGUGUAUUUAACUCAGGUCAGUAAAGUUCUUUCAGAUUUUGAUCAAGACAUUGUGUAAUCUCCCCCCUCCCCCCCACCCUGUAAUGUGGACUUUACUGAUUUGGAAGUCUUUAGCCUGACGUAGCAAGUUGUGUCCUCUCCUUGAAGUGAAUGAGUAGUUAUUCUUGAAAUCUUUUUUAUAACGUGCUCUUAACUGCUUUUUGUUGUGUCUCUUUGGGGUUUGCUUUCUUUUUUUUCUUUUGUUUUGUUAUCCUUUUCUUGCGUUGUAAGUGUUAUUAUUCCUGGCAUGAUCUAAGUUGACAGCAUUUACAUCUUUAAUGUCCGAUCCUAUUUUAUUUAAUUUAGUUUGGCAAAUUCUAGUUCUGGUCACAUGUUCAGUACAAAUUUAAAUCUAGUGAUUCUGAUUUCGUGUUUGACAUUUUACUGUUUCAUGUUUUGACAUAAUCAUAAAUUUUUUUUUAUUUACAUAAUAAUCAUAACUUUGAUGUUUCAAUAUUAGCGUGUCAUCCUUCAUGUUUCAAGAUUGUGUUUUAAGAUGAUUUAUUUUAAAAUUUGAAGUUAUGAUUUCCAAAUAUAGAAGGGAUUUAACAACUAAAUUUGCAAUUCUUCCUCAUAAUUCUUCGGUCCACAAGGUGUUCUUUCAUGUUAACAGUUGAUGUAUCUAAUAAAGAGUUUGCUUUAGUAUCUCAUGUCUAUCUAACUAUAGGAUCUAUAAAUUUAGCAGUUAAUAUAUCAAAACUGGAAAUUUUGUAGUAUUAUACUCUUGCCGACAUAUCUAGAAAUUAUUUUGAUGGUUUGCGUGUUUAGCUAUGUUCUUUUAUCUAGUGUAACUCCUUCAGCUGUGCCUUUUUGACAAACAUUGUAUGUUGCUCCGUGGCGAGGGUAGGUCUCCAUCUACAACCCGCGCAAGGUCAAGGUCGAAGUCAAGAUCUCCUGUCAGUUACCGGCUUAGGCGUAAGUCUCGCUCUAUAACACCACCACGUCGGUACUCAAGAGGUUACAGAUCUAGAUCACCAGUAAGGUCUCGUCAUUACUCAAGCUAUGAGCAUGAAAGGAGGUCCUACAGGGAUAGCAGGGAUGAUAGUGGAAGAAGUAGGAGGAGGGAUUCAGGUAAAUCUCAUGAUCGCCAUUCUCCUGUUUCAAGAAGACGUAGAAGUAGGAGUGGGAGCCCUAGAACUAGAAGAUCAUACCGAGACGAUUCUGACUCCCCAAAACGUCAUCGAGACAGUCCAUCUCAUAGGCGAAGGAAAUCAUCUUGUGCCAAUUCAAGAUCACCUGACCACCACAGGGGAAGUAGAUCAUCCCCUAGAAACGAUGAAAGCAGAGCAAAACAUAGAAAGCGAUCCAGGUCCAGAUCAGCUGAGGUUAACCAUAACUCUGGUGAUAGGAUGGAUGA